rnacentral:antisense_RNA from 1 species
AAUUAUGGUGAGGCGUAGCGGGGGAGCUGAAAAGCUCGCUGGUUUCUAUGAACGCCAGUCUUCGAACCUUGUUACGUCUUGCCACCCCG